UUAGCUGGUUGGUGGGGUGACGGCCUACCAAGGCGAUGAUCGGUCGCUGGUCUGAGAGGAUGACCAGCCACACGGGGACUGAGACACGGCCCCGACUCCUACGGGAGGCAGCAGCAAGGAAUUUUCCGCAAUGGGCGCAAGCCUGACGGAGCAACGCCGCGUGCGGGAUGACGCGUUUCGGCGUGUAAACCGCUGUUCGGGGGGAC
rnacentral:rRNA from 1 species